CUCCCAACUCCGGUUGAUCCUGCCGGACCCCACCGCUAUCGGGGUGGGACUAAGCCAUGCGAGUUGGUGCCCUCCAGCCACCGGGGAGGGUGCAGCGGACGGCUCCGUAACACGUAGCUAACCUACCCUCGGGACGGGGAUAACCCCGGGAAACUGGGGCUAAUCCCCGAUAGGUGAGGAGGCCUGGAAUGGUUCCUCACCGAAAGGGCGUUGGAACCAUGCUUCCAGCGCCGCCCGAGGAUGGGGCUGCGGCCCAUCAGGUUGUUGGUGGGGUAAUGGCCCACCAAGCCUAUAACGGGUACGGGCCGUGAGAGCGGGAGCCCGGAGAUGGGCACUGAGACAAGGGCCCAGGCCCUACGGGGCGCAGCAGGCGCGAAACCUCCGCAAUGCGCGCAAGCGU
rnacentral:rRNA from 1 species